CGUCUUGUGUGUGCUGAAGGACAGCCACGGACAGUCACGGACGUCUUGUGUGUGCUGGCGGAAACCCACAGACGUCCUGUGUGUACUGAACAGACAGCCCACGUGGGCCAAAAUCACCAAAACAGUCCACGGGAAGGGCCAGCGUGCUGAUAUGUGUACUGAUGGAAAGCCACGGACGUCAUGUGUGUGAUGAUGGACACACACGGACGUCCUGUGUGUGCUGACAGACACACACAGACGUCCUGUGUGUUCUGAAGGACAGCCACAGACAGCCACGGACGUCCUGUGUGUGCUGGCGGACACCCACGGACACACAUAGACACACACGGACAGCCACGGAUGUCCUGUGUGUGCUGAAGGACAGCCACAGACAGCCAGGGACAUUCUGUUUGUGCUGGCGGACACCCACGAACGUCCUGUGUGUACUGAACAGACAGCCCACGUGGGCCAAAAUCACCCAAACAGUCCACGGGAAGGGCCAGCGUGCUGAGUCCAAUGACCAACGUGCUUAUAUGUGUACUGAUGGACAGCCACGGAUGUCCUAGUCUUAACCAUAAACGAUGCCGACCAGGGAUCAGCAGAUGUUGCCUUUAGGACUCCGCUGGCACCUUAUGAGAAAUCAAAGUUUUUGGGUUCCGGGGGGAGUAUAGCAGCAUGGCUGAAACUUAAAGGAAUUGACGUAAGGGCACCACCAGGAGUGGAGCCUGCGGCUUAAUUUGACUCAACACGGGGAAACUUACCAGGUCCAGACAAAGUAAGGAUCGAUAGACUGAGAGCUCUUUCUUGAUUCUAUGGGUGGUGGUGCAUGGCCGUUCUUAGUUGGUGGAGUGAUUUGUCUUCUUAAUUUCGUUAACGAACGAGACCACAGCCUGCUAACUAGCUACGUGGAGGCAUCCCUUCAUGGCCGGCUUCUUAGAGGGACUAUGGCCGUUUAGGACAAGGAAGUUUGAGGCAAUAACAGGUAUGUGAUGCCCUUAGAUGUUAUGGGCCGCACGCGCGCAACACCGAUGUAUUCAACGAGUUCACACCUUGGCCGACAGGCCCGGGUAAUCUUUUAAAUUUCAUCGUGAUGGGGAUAGAUCAUUGCAAUUGUUGGUCUUCAACAAGGAAUUCCUAGUAAGCGCGAGUCAUCAGCUCGUGUUGACUUCGUCAUUGCCCUUUGUACACACCGCCCGUCGCUCCUACCGAUUGAAUGAUCCGGUGAAGUGUUCAGAUCGCGGCGACGUGGGUGGUUCACCGUCUGCGACGUCGCGAGAAGUCCACUAAACCUUAUCAUUUAGAGGAAGGAGAAGUCGUAACAAAGUUUCCGUAGGUGAACCUGCAGAAG
rnacentral:rRNA from 1 species